ACUCCUACGGGAGGCAGCAGUGGGGAAUAUUGCACAAUGGGCGCAAGCCUGAUGCAGCCAUGCCGCGUGUAUGAAGAAGGCCUUCGGGUUGUAAAGUACUUUCAGCAGUGAGGAAGGUGGGAUAUGUCAGUUAAAGUACGAUCGUAAUUCCAUUUGCAAUUUCGGACUUGAUUGAGCCUUGGCCAAGGAAAAGGAAAGCACCGGCUAAACUCCGUGCCAGCAGCCGCGGUAAUACGGAGGGUGCGAGCGUUAAUCGGAAUUACUGGGCGUAAAGCGCAUGCAGGUGGUUUGUUAAGUCAGAUGUGAAAGCCCGGGGCUCAACCUCGGAAUAGCAUUUGAAACUGGCAGACUAGAGUACUGUAGAGGGGUGAGAAUUUCAGGUGUAGCGGUGAAAUGCGUAGAGAUCUGAAGGAAUACCGGUGGCGAAGGCGG
rnacentral:rRNA from 1 species